AUUGAACGCUGGCGGCAGGCCUAACACAUGCAAGUCGAACGGUAACAGGAAGAAGCUUGCUUCUUUGCUGACGAGUGGCGGACGGGUGAGUAAUGUCUGGGAAACUGCCUGAUGGAGGGGGAUAACUACUGGAAACGGUAGCUAAUACCGCAUAACGUCGCAAGACCAAAAAGGGGGACCUUCGGGCCUCUUGCCAUCGGAUGUGCCCAGAUGGGAUGAGCUAGUAGGUGGGGUAACGGCUCACCUAGGCGACGAUCCCUAGCUGGUCUGAGAGGAUGACCAGCCACACUGGAACUGAGACACGGUCCAGACUCCUACGGGAGGCAGCAGUGGGAAUAUUGCACAAUGGGCGCAAGCCUGAUGCAGCCAUGCCGCGUGUAUGAAGAAGGCCUUCGGGUUGUAAAGUACUUUCAGCGGGGAGGAAGGGAGUAAAGUUAAUACCUUUGCUCAUUGACGUUACCCGCAGAAGAAGCACCGGCUAACUCCGUG
rnacentral:rRNA from 1 species